rnacentral:lncRNA from 1 species
AUGUCAAAUAAAAACAUUCUUCCUACUGUUGAGGGUUUUUACAUGCCUUUUUACAUGAUUUGAAUCCAUUUGUUCAUAUUCUAGGCUCUGGAGCAGCAGAAAGCAAGCUGACUUCAUCUUCUAUGAGACAUCCCAGCAGACAUUUAAAUAUUGGUAUCAUGUCAGAGUCAUGCAGUUUGAAAACAUGCAAAUAAAAAGAAAUGGAAAAAUAAAUAAUAAUUGAUGAUGAUG